GCCACUUUUUACCUUUCUACGCCUUAACAUCUCACAGGAAUUUGCACUUUCCUUUUUUAUGCGGGAAACUGAAGAAUAAUAAUAACCAACACACCUUCUCACAACUAGUUUGGAGAUGGAGAAAAUGAAGGCUGGGGUGAGAAAAGCAACCUUCAAGGAGUUCUGGAGUGGAACAGUGGAAUGGGAUUGUGAACACGCACAAAGCCAGAAGGAAAGACAGAGAGGAGGAGAGGAGGGAGCCAGGGAGUGGAGCAAAGGGAUGAGAGAGAGUUAAAGGAAAAGUAGAACAUGAGGAGAACAAAUGCAACGGUUAAUGACAGUAAUGAGGCAGUAAUGGAAGGGUCACCUGAGACCUUGGUGGCAGACUUGUCAACAACAGGGGGAAAUAAAACAACAACUAAUGAUUUCAUACUGAGAGCCCAUCAGCCUGCCAAACUGCCUUGAGCACCAAAUGCCCAACACAUAAAAACAAUAGAAAAAGGCAGACAGAUGACGAUCAAUGACAAGGAUGAUGAAACAGGCUCGUGCCUCGCCAUUUAAACACCACCGAUGCGGUUUAAGGGGACGGAAAGCACACGGACAAAGUUCCAGGGUGAAUACCGCAGCCUUCAAAGUCAGAGAUGAGAGCACUGCAGGACCACCGUGCCCUCAGGAUGGAUGUUCCGUGUCCAACACGGUGGAACACAGCCAACUCUACGCAGAGCUGAAGGAAGAGCACGUCGGACACCAGCCCAGUGCCACAGCACCUCCCCCAUUCCUCCAAUCAAACACACAGCCAGGUGAUCAGGUCCAAGAAUGUUCUAUGGCCGCACUGAGAGCAUCUUCACAGGCUGGGUCGCAAAGGGCUUUAGAGGGGUGUGUGAACAGCCAACCCUAUCAAGACUGAGCGCCCUGCCACCUAGCACCGGGUCAGAGAGGUUUGACUGAUAUUAAAUUAUUCUCCCACCCUAAAGAGUCAGGCAGUUACUGUCUUUCUGUGUUUACAUAGCUUUAUGAUUGAUCUCCACUGCAGCCAAUUACGUUCUUGGUCUGGCCUGGGCCUCAAAGGCAGUUGUUUGUGAAAGGGAAGAAAAGUUAAACACAGCUUGUAGAAAAGACAAAAGUGCAAGCGCUCCUCUCUGACAAACUCUCAAUCUGUGAGCUAAUGGAAAAUUCUGUUUUUUUCAAAUGAACAAAGUUUAUAUUGCAAAGUGAUGAAAUAUCUAGAUGAGCACUCAUUCAAAACUGGUAACGGUUAAAUUGGGCUCAAUCUGGAGAGUUAAAAGAGGACCUUGGCAGUAUUACAAACUUGAUAUUUCUAGUAUGCUAGAUGAUUAAAGAAGGGAUGUGUCCAUGAACCUCAGACAGUAGUCUUCAAGGCUGUUUUUCUCUCAGACAGACCAUUAGCAGCAACCUGUCCUCUGGUUGCAAUUAUAUAAUAACUAUACGCACAUUUAAACUGUAUCAGACAUUUUUUCUCCAGUGGAUUUUCAUGUUUUCAUAAUCUACUGAUAAUGUGACUGAGGCAGAAAUGCUACAUAACAUUUAAAUACUUUAAUAGCUUCAGCCCUUUUACACAUGGCUUUGUUGGGAAGCAACUUAACAGGCCCUUUAAUGGUACAAUGUGUUCUGCUAUGUUUCCUUAUGUGGACUGUGCUUAACGUAUUCUCUUCUGGACACAUUUCUAUUGAUACAUUUAUAAUAAAACUUUACACUGUUUUUCACCCUUCACCAUUUAUGCAUGUUGAAUUACGGUCUUGCUAAAUAUGCA
ensembl:lncRNA